GAAUAUUGGACAAUGGGGGGAACCCUGAUCCAGCCAUGCCGCGUGUGUGAAGAAGGCCUUUUGGUUGUAAAGCACUCUAAGCGAGGAGGAGGCUACCUGGAGUAAUACCUUAGGAUGGUGGAAGUUACGCGCAGAAUAAGCACCGGCUAACUCGGUGCCAGCAGCCGCGGUAAUACAGGGGGUGGGAGCGUUAAUCGGAAUUGCUGGGCGUAAAGCGUGCGUAGGCGGCCAAUUAAGUCAAAUGUGAAAUCCCCGAGCUUAACUUGGGAAUUGCAUUCGAUACUGGUUGGCUAGAGUAUGGGAGAGGAUGGUAGAAUUCCAGGCGUAGCGGUGAAAUGCGUAGAGAUCUGGAGGAAUACCGAUGGCGAAGGCAGCCAUCUGGCCUAAUACUGACGCUGAGGUACGAAAGCAUGGGGAGCAAACAG
rnacentral:rRNA from 1 species